rnacentral:lncRNA from 1 species
AUUUCUUUAGAUAAUUAACUCAGAGAUAAAAUGUUGUGGGUGGGCCUGGUGCUGUUUGUAUGCUAAUUCCACUCUCCUGGGAGGGGUUUUGGACAAGGAGUGAGUCACAUGUACACAGAUGGCUUCUUGUGAACCAAUCCCCUAAUGAAUAAAGGAGCCAAUUACUGGGCGAGUAGGAGGGACUUCUGGGUUAGCAGGAGGAAGCAGGAGAAAGUUAGGCCUUUUUGGAAUGGGGAAGGCAUGAGACUAAGUUGUAGCUGCUAGAGUUUCCCAGAAUCAUGGCUGAUCCACAAGGAUUUGCCACUGGAGGAAUCAGAUUUUAAUAAGAUUUACAAGAUUAGGAUUUAGUUGUUGCGCCCAGAGAUUGAGUUACCGUCGUUUCUGAACUAAGUUUGUGUUGCGUUUUCCUUCAUGUGGUGGCUUGUUUGGGUUCAAAAGAGAAAGUUAGCUUCUGGGUUAGGAAUGAGGUUUGUGUCCAUUCUCUCGGCAUUGGGGUCUCAUCUGUGUCUGACCCAUCAGGACCCUAUACCACAUCCUCUGUGAGUCAGAAGGCCGACCAGCAGCUCCCGAGGAACGGUACAACUGAGAUGGCAGCUCGAGGUGAAAGAGAGGAACUAGACAGACGGAAGAAAGAACGGAGCCAAGUCAAAGUGGACUCUGAUCAAAGCUCAAUUUUACUAUUCCAACACGCAGUUAUGAAGGAGGGGAAGGGGGGGCCGAUUCCCGCCAAAUAAUCCUGGAGUCCAGUAGCAGGGUGACCACGUGUAUGGCUCCAGAACAGCAAAGCAGCAGGUUCCAGCAGUGGGCGUGGCAGAACGAUUGAGGGGCAAGCUCCAUCCAGAUGUAAACAGUGGAACCAUUAAGGCUGGGGGAGGGAAGGCUACAGGUUCAGAUACCAUAAAUGCAUAGAGGCCAUAAAUUCUGAUCCAGUAGUGCUGGAGUAAACAGACAGUUGUGAAUCACCCAACAUGGGUGCUGGGGAUUUAACUCAAAUGACCUGGAAGAGCAAACUCUUAACUGCUGAGAGCUCUCUCCAGGGCCAAUAAGAAUUAGUUUUGAACUACAUAUCCAACUCUACCACGUCCAGGUCUCAUGUGAACAUUGAAAAUACUUAGCCAGGCGUGGUGGCGCACACCUUUAAUCCCAGCACUUGGGAGGCAGAGGCAGGUGGAUUUCUGAGUUCAAGGCCAGCCUGGUGUACAAAGUGAGUUUAGGAUAGCCAGGGCUACACAGAGAAACCCUGUCUCAAAAAACCAAAAAACAAAAAAAACAAAAAAAAAGUAUCUUUAAAGAAAAUAAGAUCGAAAACAUGAAUGGAAACAGCUGCAUAAAAUAAAGAAGAUUAUGCAAGAUAUAAAAAAACACUAAACAAAGAUGGAAAUUGAAAAAAAUCAAUCUGAGAUGCUGAAAUGAAAAGUUGAAAAGAAAUCUCUGUGGAAAGGACAGAAUAAAUGAUCUUGAAAAGGGAACAAUCAAAGACAGAUAGAAAAAUAAGAAAGUCCCUGUAUUGGUCAGGGUUCUCUAGAGGAAUGGAACAGAUUUUAUGUAUAUAACCUAUCAUAUCUAUAUACAUAUAUAAGUCUAUCUAUCUAUAUUUAUAAUUUAAAAUAGCUUUUAAGCUGUUGUCUGGCUCUUUCUACAAUGGCUAGAAAGUCCAAGAAUCUGAUAGUUGUUCAGUCCAUGAGGCUGAAUAUCUCAACUUGAUUUCUGUCUAUGUUAGAAUCCUGAAGAAGGCUCUAACAUCAGUGAAGGAACGUGUCAGCAGCAGUGUGGAUGAGUUUGUCAUCAUGAGUGAGGCCAAGCAGGCAAAAAGCUUCAAUCUUCCAUGUCCCUUUAUGUGGACUGCCACCUGAAAGUGUGACACAGACUUAGGGUGGGUCUUCUGAGCACAAUUGAUACAGAUUUAGGGUGGGUUUUCCCACCUCCCAUAAUCCAAUUAGGAAAAUCCCCAAAGGUGUGCUCAGAUGUUUGGAUCUAGUUGGUUCCAGACAAGUUAACCAAGAAUAGCAUCAUAAGUACACACCCUGCCAAUUGGAUGCACAAUCACAACUUCUUCUUCUUUUUGUUUGUUUUUUUUCGAGACAGGGUUUCUCUGUAUAGUCCUGGCUGUCCUAGAACUCAUUUUUGUAGACCAGGCUGGCCUCAAACUCAGAAAUCUGCCUGCCUUUGCCUCCGAGUGCUGGGACAAUCACAACUUCUUAUGUCAGGCUUAAUUUCCAAAGUCAACUUCUCACCUCCACAGGCUCAUGCACAGGCAAGUGUGUCUGCACAUACACACUUACUGAGUCCACUGUAAGAGGACAGUAGACUAGGCAAUGAAAGUAUUGCCCUAAAGUAAAAGCCAUUCUUACCUGCUCCCUCCCCUGAAAGACCACAUCAGGAAAACCAGCCCUGUGAACUUAUCAGACACAUUAGACCGAGGAGAGAGAAAAAACCAUAUAUACAACAUGGAGUAAUUUAGGACAGUGCACAACCUGAUCUCACACCUUCAAGUGCCACUAGCAUUUGCAAGUGUUGUGCAAUGACUAGAAAGAACUGUAAA